rnacentral:misc_RNA from 1 species
AAUUCUCAACCUUAUUAGCUUUUGCUGAUAAUGGCUUGGAUGUGGGGGUUUAUUUGCUGGCUUCUUCAUGAGAUCAGCUCCCCUUAAAUGCAUUAGCUGGUUGCCUUGUGCAGACUUGUCUAUUGGUGUGAUAAUUAUCUACGCCGUGGUCAGUCUGCCUGUCUUUAGCACCGCUUCUAACUGUCUGUUUACUCAGACACUUUAUGACA